GAUGAACGCUGGCGGCGUGCCUAAUACAUGCAAGUCGAGCGAACAGACGAGGAGCUUGCUCCUCUGACGUUAGCGGCGGACGGGUGAGUAACACGUGGAUAACCUACCUAUAAGACUGGGAUAACUUCGGGAAACCGGAGCUAAUACCGGAUAAUAUAUGGAACCGCAUGGUUCAAUAGUGAAAGACGGUUUUGCUGUCACUUAUAGAUGGAUCCGCGCCGCAUUAGCUAGUUGGUAAGGUAACGGCUUACCAAGGCGACGAUGCGUAGCCGACCUGAGAGGGUGAUCGGCCACACUGGAACUGAGACACGGUCCAGACUCCUACGGGAGGCAGAAGUAGGGAAUCUACCGAAACGGGCGGAAGCCUGAAGGAGCAACGCCGCGUGAGUGAUGAAGGUCUUCGGAUCGUAAAACUCUGUUAUUAGGGAAGAACAAAUGUGUAAGUAACUAUGCACGUCUUGACGGUACCUAAUCAGAAAGCAACGGCUAACUACGUG
rnacentral:rRNA from 1 species